rnacentral:rRNA from 1 species
AACGAACGCUGGCGGCAUGCCUAACACAUGCAAGUCGAACGAGACCUUCGGGUCUAGUGGCGCACGGGUGCGUAACGCGUGGGAACCUGCCCUUAGGUUCGGAAUAACUCCCCGAAAGGGGUGCUAAUACCGGAUAAUGUCUUCGGACCAAAGAUUUAUCGCCUUUGGAUGGGCCCGCGUUGGAUUAGCUAGUUGGUAGGGUAAAAGCCUACCAAGGCUACGAUCCAUAGCUGGUCUGAGAGGAUGAUCAGCCACACUGGGACUGAGACCCGGCCCAGACUCCUACGGGAGGCAGCAGUGGGGAAUAUUGGACAAUGGGCGAAAGCCUGAUCCAGCAAUGCCGCGUGAGUGAUGAAGGCCUUAGGGUUGUAAAGCUCUUUUACCCGGGAUGAUAAUGACAGUACCGGGAGAAUAAGCGCCGGCUAACUCCGUG